rnacentral:rRNA from 1 species
UGUUUAUCAAAAACAUUGCCUCAUGACACAUUUUAUAUGAGGUACUUCCUGCCCAGUGAUAUAUUCAACGGCCGCAGUACCCUGACUGUGCAAAGGUAGCAUAAUCAUUUGCCUUUUAAUUGAAGGCUGGAAUGAAUGGAUUAACGUAAAUAAAGCUGUCUCUGUUUAUACUUCUAAAACCUAGACUUUAAGUGAAAAUACUUAAAUACUAAUAAAGGACAAAAAGACCCUAUAGAGCUACAUUCAUAAUAGUUAACUAAAUACAAUAUAUUAAGUAUACUAACAAUGAAUUUUGUUGGGGCGACAAAGGAAUAUAAAAAUCUUCCUUCUAUACAAAGAUCUACCAAUCUCAUAAAAGAUCCUAAAAAGAUCUAAGGAAAAAGCUACCUUAGGGAUAACAGGCUAAUCCUCUUAAAGAGUUCACAUUGACAAGAGGGAUUGGCACCUCGAUGUUGGCUUAAGAUAUCCUCUAGGUGCAGAAGCCUAGAAAGGUUGGUUUGUUCAACCAUUAAAAUCUUACGUGAUCUGAGUUCAGACC